rnacentral:rRNA from 1 species
GAUGAACGCUGACAGAAUGCUUAACACAUGCAAGUCAACUUGAACUUCGGUUUGGGUGGCGGACGGGUGAGUAACGCGUAAAGAACUUGCCUCACAGUUAGGGACAACAUUUGGAAACGAAUGCUAAUACCUGAUAUUAUGAUUUUAGGGCAUCCUAGGAUUAUGAAAGCUAUAUGCGCUGUGAGAGAGCUUUGCGUCCCAUUAGCUAGUUGGAGAGGUAACAGCUCACCAAGGCGAUGAUGGGUAGCCGGCCUGAGAGGGUGAUCGGCCACAAGGGGACUGAGACACGGCCCUUACUCCUACGGGAGGCAGCAGUGGGGAAUAUUGGACAAUGGACCAAGAGUCUGAUCCAGCAAUUCUGUGUGCACGAUGAAGUUUUUCGGAAUGUAAAGUGCUUUCAGUUGGGAAGAAAAAAAUGACGGACCAACAG